rnacentral:lncRNA from 1 species
CGUUAGUUUAGGUGCUUCCAUAAACCAAUACAAGACACCGCGGUGUGUGAAAUUAACACCCCUUAUUGAGCUAUUGAAUUCGAGGGUCGUGUCCAGCCACUUCAGUCAAACAUGUCCAAAUUGGAUUCCUGGCCACAAGCAAUGGAACAACAUGAAUUGAAUAUCCAAUUUCGAUUUCUUCUACUGGUAGUUUCUUUCCCUAUGCAGAAAAAGAACAACUAUCUUUGUAAAUUACUAUAGCAUUGGAAAAGAGUGAAGCCUGGUACACCUAUCUAUAUUAAUACUUCAGUUUAGAACUUUAUUAUCUCCUUUCUCUUCUAUUUUCCUGAAAUAAAUAUCUGCCUUUCGGACAAAUCUUUAAACUGGACAAAACAAUAUUCUCAUUUUUUUUUAAAAAUAUCCUUUAACUAUGCCAGGCCAUAAAUAUUACACAUUAUACUACCAAAGGACCUGGUGUAGUGGAUAGGGAAAGGACUUGGUGUAGUGGAUAGGGCUGCUCCUCCUUUAAUCAAAGGUCCGAGUUCCAAUCUUGGGUAUAGAAAAAUACUUGAUAGGGAGCACUAUCCCCGAGUAGGGCCUUAUCCGGUGCGAACCCGGAUAUAGUCGGGCUCCAAUGCGGGUACGGAACACCCCGGGUGGAAAACCAAAAAAAAAUAGCAUUAUAUGUCCAACCUUGUGAAGUAAUAGGGAUCGCGGUUCUCAAUCAACAUUCUAAAUUGUGUUCUCUAUGCUAUAUAAGACACUGCAUAUUUAGGAUUAAGCCCAACAUAAUCCACAAUUUUUGAAUUUUAACUUAAAAUGAUUCUAUUUAAUUUUCAUGAAGCACUAAUACACCACAGUAUUUGACAAAAUGGAAACAAAGAGGAAAUAGAGAGGAACUUCAUUACAGUGAUCUUUAUCUUCAACGAUUUUCAGUUACGAACUGAUGAAUAGUUACUUGAAAAGACUACUUCGAUGUGAAUUCGCCGGCGCCGGCGCUUUUUCUUCCGCCGGCGUUUACGUUUCUUACUGCCGAAAAAAUUUCGGAACUCGUUUCGGUCCAGCUUGUCGCUGAAGGGAUGACGUGAAUCGAAGUGAAAUGAUGAUAAACUAUGUGACGAUUUGCUUCACCGACGGCGAGGAGAGAGGAUUAGAGAAGUGUUCGAUGAGAUAUCCCCUACUUUUGAUUCGCCAUUGAGAGUUACAAACGAUUUACCAUAAAGAC